AUGAACGCUGGCGGCGUGCCUAAUACAUGCAAGUCGAGCGAACGGACGAGAAGCUUGCUUCUCUGAUGUUAGCGGCGGACGGGUGAGUAACACGUGGAUAACCUACCUAUAAGACUGGGAUAACUUCGGGAAACCGUAGCUAAUACCGGAUAAUAUUUUGAACCGCAUGGUUCAAAAGUGGAAGACGGUCUUGCUGUCACUUAUAGAUGGAUCCGCGCUGCAUUAGCUAGUUGGUAAGGUAACGGCUUACCAAGGCAACGAUGCAUAGCCGACCUGAGAGGGUGAUCGGCCACACUGGAACUGAGACACGGUCCAGACUCCUACGGGAGGCAGCAGUAGGGAAUCUUCCGCAAUGGGCGAAAGCCUGACGGAGCAACGCCGCGUGAGUGAUGAAGGUCUUCGGAUCGUAAAACUCUGUUAUUAGGGAAGAACAUAUGUGUAAGUAACUGUGCACAUCUUGACGGUACCUAAUCAGAAAGCCACGGCUAACUACGUG
rnacentral:rRNA from 1 species